UACGAAGGGGGCGAGCGUUGUUCGGAAUUAUUGGGCGUAAAGAGCUCGUAGGCGGUUUGUCGCGUCUGCUGUGAAAACGCGAGGCUCAACCUCGCGCCUGCAGUGGGUACGGGCAGACUAGAGUGCGGUAGGGGAGAUUGGAAUUCCUGGUGUAGCGGUGGAAUGCGCAGAUAUCAGGAGGAACACCGAUGGCGAAGGCAGAUCUCUGGGCCGUAACUGACGCUGAGGAGCGAAAGCGUGGGGAGCGAACAGG
rnacentral:rRNA from 1 species